GAUGAACGCUGGCGGCGUGCCUAAUACAUGCAAGUCGAGCGAAUGGAUUGAGAGCUUGCUCUUAUGAAGUUAGCGGCGGACGAGUGAGUAACACGUGGGUAACCUGCCCAUAAGACUGGGAUAACUCCGGGAAACCGGGGCUAAUACCGGAUAACAUCUUGAACUGCAUGGUUCGAAAUUGAAAGGCGGCUUCGGCUGUCACUUAUGGAUGGACCCGCGUCGCAUUAGCUAGUUGGUGAGGUAACGGCUCCACAAGGCAACGAUGCGUAGCCGACCUGCGAGGGUGAUCGGCCACACGGGGACUGAGACACGGCCCAGACUCCGACGGGAGGCAGCAGUAGGGAAUCUUCCGCAAUGGACGAAAGUCUGACGGAGCAACGCCGCGUGAGUGAUGAAGGCUUUCGGGUCGUAAAACUCUGUUGUUAGGGAAGAACAAGUGCUAGUUGAAUAAGCUGGCACCUUGACGGUACCUAACCAGAAAGCCACGGCUAACUACGUGCCAGCAGCCGCGGUAA
rnacentral:rRNA from 1 species